UACAGAGGGUGCGAGCGUUAAUCGGAAUUACUGGGCGUAAAGCGCGCGUAGGCGGCUUUGCAAGUCGAGUGUGAAAUCCCCAGGCUUAACCUGGGAACUGCAUUCGAGACUGCAUAGCUAGAGUAUGGGAGAGGGAAGUGGAAUUUCAGGUGUAGCGGUGAAAUGCGUAGAUAUCUGAAGGGACAUCAGUGGCGAAAGCGACUUCCUGGACCAAUACUGACGCUCAUGUGCGAAAGCGUGGGGAGCAAACAGG
rnacentral:rRNA from 1 species